rnacentral:lncRNA from 1 species
GGGUACUCCCAUGGCCAAGGCUCCGCCUCUGCUCCGCGGAGCCGCGUCCCCGGCUGGGCGAGCCGGCAAUGCUGGGCUGCGUCAGAGCCCUCCCCGCGGUUACAACACUGCGCCCUUUCCCCUCUCUGCAGUGGCCGCUCCUGCUGCCCUUUCCCACAUCACCGCGGGGUGUGGGCACGCAACCGCCACCUCCUCCUGUCCCAUUAUAACCGCCACUGCGGCCCCACGCUGCCUGCUGGGGUUUUUUAAGCAGCUGGCAUGGGAGUGCUGGGCGAAA